GGUAAACCAUGUGGAGCGAUUCUCACAGAAUCAUAAACACAAAUUGAAAGACAUCACCACUGUCGUGAAGAGGCCAUUGUUGAGUUGUGGGCAGUACACCAUCGACAGCUGGAGUGCAUCUAGGAUCCACCAUACAUGGAAAUUUUUAGGUGUAGGCUGAAUUCCAGUGUUUUCUGACAGGAUGUCAGGUCCCCACUGUGCAGCACAGCUUUAUCGCUACAGUGUGAAGCUCUGACAGGAGCUCGGUGCUGUAUUUGGUUGUCAGGGAUGAAACACAGGGUUGUCUCUGCGAAUGCUUCAACUCUAACUGUUUGGAAAAACUGUUGAAUCUAAACUUUGAUUGUGUCCUCUGUUUUAUGUUACUUGAAUUUUCUUUUAGAUGUACCUAACUUUAAUCAUCAGCUGUAGUUUUUAAAUGUACUUUAGAAAUAAA